UUUUCGGAGAGUUUGAUCCUGGCUCAGGACGAACGCUGGCGGCGUGCCUAAUACAUGCAAGUCGAGCGGACAGAAGGGAGCUUGCUCCCGGAUGUUAGCGGCGGACGGGUGAGUAACACGUGGGUAACCUGCCUGUAAGACUGGGAUAACUCCGGGAAACCGGAGCUAAUACCGGAUAGUUCCUUGAACCGCAUGGUUCAAGGAUGAAAGACGGUUUCGGCUGUCACUUACAGAUGGACCCGCGGCGCAUUAGCUAGUUGGUGGGGUAAUGGCUCACCAAGGCGACGAUGCGUAGCCGACCUGAGAGGGUGAUCGGCCACACUGGGACUGAGACACGGCCCAGACUCCUACGGGAGGCAGCAGUAGGGAAUCUUCCGCAAUGGACGAAAGUCUGACGGAGCAACGCCGCGUGAGUGAUGAAGGUUUUCGGAUCGUAAAGCUCUGUUGUUAGGGAAGAACAAGUGCGAGAGUAACUGCUCGCACCUUGACGGUACCUAACCAGAAAGCCACGGCUAACUACGUGCCAGCAGCCGCGGUAAUA
rnacentral:rRNA from 1 species